rnacentral:rRNA from 1 species
AUUAAACGCUGGCGGCAUGCCUUACACAUGCAAGUCGAACGGCAGCACGGGGGCAACCCUGGUGGCGAGUGGCGAACGGGUGAGUAAAGCAUCGGAACGUGCCCUGGAGUGGGGGAUAACGUAGCGAAAGUUACGCUAAUACCGCAUAUUCUGUGAGCAGGAAAGCAGGGGAUCGCAAGACCUUGCGCUUUGGGAGCGGCCGAUGUCGGAUUAGCUAGUUGGUGGGGUAAAGGCCUACCAAGGCGACGAUCCGUAGCGGGUCUGAGAGGAUGAUCCGCCACACUGGGACUGAGACACGGCCCAGACUCCUACGGGAGGCAGCAGUGGGGAAUUUUGGACAAUGGGCGCAAGCCUGAUCCAGCCAUGCCGCGUGAGUGAAGAAGG